rnacentral:rRNA from 1 species
UACAGGGGGUGCAAACGUUGCUCGGAAUUAUUGGGCGUAAAGCGCGCGUAGGCGGCCACUUAAGUCGGAUGUGAAAGCCCCUGGCUCAACUGGGGAAGUGCACCCGAAACUGAGCGGCUUGAAUGCAAAAGAGGGUCGCGGAAUUCCCGGUGUAGAGGUGAAAUGCGCAGAUAUCAGGAGGAACACCGGUGGCGAAGGCGGUGCUCUGGGCCGGUACUGACGCUGAGGAGCGAAAGCGUGGGUAGCAAACAGG